UCCUAAACACAGAUAUAAGUUUUAUUGUUCAUUAAUUAUUUACUCUCUUUCUCAAACACAUAUUCCUGAGCGGUCCCUUAGUUUGUCAAAUGCAGAGACAGAAGGUCUGCCCAUAGAGGGAAGGGCUGCUCACUGAGCAGCAGGGGGGACAUAUCAACUAUCAGUGACCAAUCCUCGGCUGUUUUCAGCGAUGUUGGGGCUGUUGGUGUAGUAACAGAUGACGCGCAUGGUUGGUGGGUGUUUCUAAUAAUGUGUUGUUCCUGGGGGUGUCACCAGGAACCGUUAACUCUCCGCCCAACACGUCCUCGCCAUAAACAUUCAAAUGUUUACAUCAUGGCCAGUUUUGUUUAUCAUAUCUAUUGUCCUGUUUUAGGUUAAACUGUCCCUCUGAGGUUAGCCUCAGCUCAGUGUAAAAGUCUCCCUUACACAUAUCCAUUCCAGUUCCACUUCUCCCAAAUAAUCUCCCCAUAUGCUGUUUGCCAAAUUAAUAAAGUUAUAACAUUACAAUAUAAAAAGACCCUACUCUAUUAUUUUUACAGCUGUCAAAUAAAAGCUUUGUGCAUUAAUAGUGUAACUGAAUACUUUCCCCAUGGCUCUGGUUAACUGUACUCCAUAAUUAGGCACACAAAUAACACAAAAACAAAAACCUUUAUCCCCAAUUUCAAUCAUUUGUAACAAGCCUGAGAUGUAUUUAUUUAAGUCAUGUUAAUAUCUACCUGUUUAAAUUUAAUUUGGGCUGGAUAAACUUUUAUAUUAUUAAACCUAAGUCUUUUUCUCUUACAACCGUUUAGUUAAACCUUUUCUGUUUAAUGGAAGUCUCCAAAGUGCAUUUGUUUUGAAUGCUGCAGUCAUUCAGCGCAAAUAAACACUUCUUGAAACCGUGGUUUCUAGAAUUUUAAUCUGGAUUAUUUUCCAUAGACGAACAGAGCUUUCACACCAAUAACACAUACAAAAGACGAACAAAAACACACACACAUUUCUUUCCUUUUAACAGUAUUUUUCACAGAUCAUGUUUGAAAAGUUUAGAUUGCCGAAAUAUAUUUUGCCGAAAUAUCAUGCUUAUUGGCCAACGCGCCUCUGUCACUCCACGGGGAGUUUUAGCUGGCGAAAUUGCCAGGCAUCGCCGUAACCGUUCAAUUUACCGGCUGUCCGACGCCUCGCCUCCGCAGAAACAAGGUUCAACAUCUCGCCACUCGCCUGUCAUCUUUUAUCUCAUUACGUUUCACGUUAUCUUUAGUCAUUUUCCCCCUCUAGCCGAGAGAAGCAUCUUUCUGGUCCGUUGCUAAAAUGUUUCCCCCGCGAAACGCCUGCGCUUCUUAAUUUCCGUUCCGUUCCUUUUUUAUUUUAUUUUUUUCAAUGCAACUGCCCCGACCAACUGUUGGUUGCACUCAGAACGUGCCAAAAAAAGCCACAAAUACAUUGAUCUGUCCUCCCAUUGAUAUCUAUGCUGCACGGUCCUAUUUAUUUUCACAAAUAUCCUGAUCAAAUGCACCGUAAAUCUCUUACGCUCCAGUUGCUAUUCUCAGCUCUGUCAUACGCACAAAUCUACACACACAGACUGACACACAAAAACCCAUUUGCGCACAGACAUCAAUCUCCGUGGAUCCAAGCAGUCUCUCCCCCACUCACUCAAACAAAAUUAUCUAAUUUCCACAGACUCAAUAUGUUGUACAAGACAUGACGAAGACAACAAUAUCAGACAGACAGCUUGCGCGUAGUCUUCUGUGAGACGUCUCUCUUUUUUUUAAUAUACGAAACCUCCUUGUCUAACCGCCGUGUUUCUAAAAAACUCCCAAAGUGUUGCUCUGUGAUUCCCCUUUAGAUUUCCUGAUUUAUUAAUGAUAGCUUCCUGGAAUUUUAGCUAUUUUCUGUUUGUUAAGUCACCUCUUAAACCUGAAUUGUAUUCUUUUACCCAUCUCGCUAAAUGUUUAAUUUUAUCAGAGUGGGUCCUGCUGUUCAAUAUUAUGUCUCAUGAAAACCCCGCAGCAAAUGGGGAUCGCUCGCAUUUUGGCGUUCUCCCCCAGUCAAGCACUCAACAUUCAAACUGUUUUUUGCUAAAAUAGUCUGUAAUAGCUGAUUGUGUGUUCAGCUAACAGCUCAUUUUAUUUAAUCUUUACUUUUAUUCCCUGUCCGGUCUUCGCUGGGUGUGCGUGUGUCCAGGGGCGCGGCUUGUAAACCGGUCUCCCUGUUUCUACGUCAGGUCACGGUUUCUUAAAAAAAAAAAAAAAAAGAUUUAACUCAAAGAACUUUAUUUCUCUUUGUGUUAUCCGCACAAUUUAUGUUUCUGCUCUGUUCUUAGUUCUGUUAUAUCAGAACUUUAUUACGUCUGUAAUUAGAGCUUCACAGAGUCACUCUGUUAUCUCCACAUCCAUUCAAUAUGUAUUGCCUCAUCUCGCUCAACCUUUUAUGUAGAAUUCGAGAUUUCUCAAGUUCUCGGGCCUCUAACCCAGCAAAAAUACGGUUCCCCAUUGAGAACCGCAGUGAGCCGCCACGCUCAAGAAUCCCUUUAGAUUUCUGAACUCACAGGACUUACUCUAUUCUUAGUUCUGUUAUUUAAUGUCAGAACUAUUUUUGCCUGGUCUCGUUCUCAAUCCUUUUCUCUCUUUUUUUCAAAAUUCUCAAUACAUUUCUGAACCACACAUAAUUUAGCCUAUAUUUCUAAGCCGAAAAUGCAGAUUUGAUAAAAAGGUUCUGCUUACCUUGUUUUGUUGUGGCCACUGUGUCCCGUCUCCGUUUGACCCAGUCUGAUGAUGACCAAUUCAGCUUGUCACCCCGAAUCCCGGACCGAGCCCCCAAAUGUUGAAGGUGUCUGCUUUCCCAGGUCCAUUCAUUCGUGUGCAGGACUUUAAAAUAAUAACUCAGCCAAAGGACGCAGAAUUCCAUUUCACCUUUGCAAAGGGAGAGAUGCACCAGCCAGCCUCUGCGGGCGGCAACUCUGACUUUCUCUCCCGCUAAGGCUUAUUUUUAUUAAAGUUAGAACAUAGAUUACACAAGGUCACACAAUGAAUGACGCACACAUUUUAUUGCCAUCUUACUCUCUUGUUGUUUCCUCCUGCUGCAUGUGAACCGGAGUUUCUGUUUUUUCCCACUGCCUAGGACUGGCCUUGAAACUCUCUCCUGAUACGUUUGCUCGUAAACAGCUCAUUUAACCUUAAUCUAUUCACAUUCUAUUCUUCUGACAAACAGACACGGCCUCAAAGCAAAUAUGUUGCAUAUUAAAAGCAUGUUAUACCUUCAUAAAUGUGUACUAAAAAAAUAAUCAAAGUUAAAACAUUCCACAGGAUGCUGCUUAAAGUGUCGCGAUGGAGUAGUGCAUGUCCAAUGUUUGUAAAUAUCAGUGUAACAACUUGUGUUGCUGUGCUUCAAAACCUGAUAUACAGAUGUAUGUGUAGGCUAAAAAUUUCUGUAGCAUCAUUGAUAUUCUGACCAACCCUGUACAAAGCUCAGUUAGGUUCUUUUCUAGUCUCUGGAAAUGCUGGUGCCUCAGUUUAUAAGGCAAUGGAUGAAUAUUCUCUUUUUGUGAGUCUUAUUGUUGUUGUUCUGUUUGUCUGUUUUUAAUAUGGUUAAUUUUUUUGUCUGAAAUAAAGUUGAUUGGACAAGAGAAAUUGUUAACUUAUACAGAAUACUGAAAAAGUAUGUGUAAAAAUCAAUUUGUUCAGAUUCAAUCUAUGUUCUAUUGAAUUUAAGAUAUAAUCAUUCAGACAUUAGAUCAGACAUUUUAUCAGAAGUAUUAAAUGCUUUAUUCAGUUUACAAAAGAUAGGUUUAACAAUAGUACUUUUAUGGGGAACAGCACACAUAGAAGGAAAUAAGAUGGGAAAAUCAUGUUGGCUUUACAGUUAAUACUAAAUCUGAAGCAAAACGUAUCAGAAAACAAAAUUAGAAGAAAGAUUGCAGAAAUGUGGGAGGGAAAAGAAUAGAAUAAAAAAAAAUAGUAGGAGAAAUAAGAACUGGAAGAAGGGACAGAAAGGAGGACAAAUCAAUAACAAGAUUAAGAUUUGGAAAUACAGCACAUUUUAUACUGAACCACACUCUAUGCCGGUUGGUGGCAAUAAUGUGUGCCCUAAGUGUUUUUUGCCAACUCCAUAAGAAGAGAAGAAGCAGGAGGAAGAAGAGGGCUGACAGUAAGCCUUGUUGUUCCUGUGUUGUUCAAUGAGAACACAUGGUAGCUUUCGUCUUCGCUUUAAGUUCCCUGAAGCUCUUCUUGGACACGGCAACUCUACCCAGUUUCAUUGCAAGAGAAAGAUGACAAAAUAACCUGAAAAUUCUGGUAAGACUUGGUUAUUUUUAAACCUAAAACACCAAUAAUCCCAGUGAGUCCCCAGUAAAUUCAACAAGUAACCUUUUUGUUUGCUUCAUUUUUUCAUAGGAAGUCAAGCAACAGCCCUUUAAUCUGCCAUAAAGCUGCAUGCAAGACACAUGAACUCGUGUGUCGGAAAUUCCGGUAAAGCCUGCCUCAUAAUGCGGAGAAGGCAACAGCCCUUAAGGAAUUCUGCCCGGGUCUAGUCAAGAAGGAAGUGGCUGCAAGAGGCGGGGUAGGGUGUACUGGAAGCAGAGGAGGUGGCAUUCUGAAAAGGGGUUACCAAUGAUCUUGUGUCAGAUGAGGAAGAUGACUGCAAGAUCAUCUUCUGUGAAGGCAGGGGGUGUCAGGUUGGAUUGUUUAAUCCCCUAGUUUCUGCAGCCAGACCUCUGCAGCAUGCUACAGAAGAAGCUUGAGGCUAAUCCAAAGUACAGCUUGCUACAUCACAGGUGCCUGGACACUGGAGCAUGUUCAGACAGUAAAUCACCCCCCACAUGGUCCAGAAGUUGAUAAGCAUUUCAAGUCAUUGCAUUGUUUGUGGCUACAGGAAAUAAUUGGGAACAGUCGGCUGCUGCAUUUCCUCUGUUCAACAAAUGUUAUAUUCCAUUAUCUGAUCAUCAUUGAUCUUUCUGAUGCUAAGAUACACUUGCAAACGCAUUAGCUGCUCCAAGAUGUAGCUUGUACAUUUAUCGUUUCCUAUGUUUUUUUGUCAUUGUUGAGUGAACAGCCUCUGCUUUUCCUCCUUUUAACCAGAACACACGUGUUUUUGCAUGCAUUUUUUAUGUUUUAAGUUUGCUUUUUCUAAAAAUAAAGUUAUUAAAUUGUAUUCCUCAGAUUUUGUGUUCCUUUAGAUUUCAUAUCCUUGAAUUAUUUUAGCAUACAAGAUGACAUGGGUUAUAUCAUAUGAACACACACAUACAUGUUCUUAUCAAAAGUAGAAUCGUUAACCCCUCAAUCAAUCACAUGUGCUUAAAGAUUGGUUAUGUCAUUUGCAUGAUCCAAUAGCUGCAACAGUUGCUGCGUGGUCGGCCUCAGCUGCAAUUCAUAUGGUAAAGUCAGGUCAUUAACACCUCAUUAACACCUCUCGCCAGCUGCGGUCGCAACAGCCGAACACAAACAUCAGGUGCGGAAUACGGCAGAAAACUGCCUCAUGUUUAGGGUAUUUGUGACCAUUCUAACCUGGGAAAAUCCCACUUUUUGUACAGUGUUUUGAAGGAUGAUUACAUUCGUCUGCUAAAUAUAGUUGAAGGUUUAAAUAUCAAAGGGGUUCUCAGCGGUCCUGUUGUGGCCAUUUAUUGGGGAGAUGAGAUUUUUUUCAAGACUUUUUCUCCUUAACAAAUUUCUGGAAAGGCAUGCAUUACACGACCUGUGGAAUUUCUUAACAAUUUUAUUAUUUUCUGGGAGAAAAGACAUCUCUUCCACAAAGAUGGCUUCUCUGUAAAUAGACCAGGUGCAAAAUGUUUUAUUUCCAACAUGUUUUUCUCUGACACAGCUGAUCGGACAUGGUUCACAAACAAGGUACAACAAGUUCAAAAACAGAUGAUAAGCCCUGUGCAGCCUGCAACAGCCAAGCUAAAGACUGACGCAGAAAGUGACUUCACGCAGGAGGAUUCACUCACCCCAGACUCACUCACCCCAGUUCUCAACAGGUCAAAAAGAACACCAAGUAACCCCAGCAAGGAAACCAAAACCUCUCUCCACCCAGCCCCCAGCCCACACUACACCCACCUUCCCUCUCUCUCCACUCAGCCCAGAUGUCACCUUCCUGGAUUUCACCAACUAUAUGAAAAAGGUUUUCAAGAUUGGUUUACUGCUGAAAUCUUGUCAACACAGAUAACCGACCUCCUAACUUAUCUCCUACACAUAUGAAAGCAUGAUGAUCAUGACUGUGCUCUGGACCUUCAGAUCACUGUGAUGUACACUGGGCUCAAGUAGUAACUUUAUCAGACAUGAUUACCUCCAGCAUAAGCUUGGACCCUUGAUGGGAGAUGGCUGUAAAAUAUCUCUGAUGGUACAUGGUAGAAAGAGCAAAGCUAAAAGGAUAAAAAACAGAAGACAUAAAUUAUCAGUUACAACCACUUGCAAAGACUGCCUUGUCAUAUAACAUUGCUUUAUUAAACUUUAGAUCUGACAGGAAAAUCAUUUUUAAUCAAUGACUUUGUUACUGACCAUAAUAUUGAUAUGUUUUUAACAUAAACAUGGUUACACAAAUUUUCUUUGUGAGGGCAGACAGCAAAGAAAAGAUGGAGGAGAGGCAACUUUAUUUAGUGAUUCACAAAAGUGUAAAAAGGUGUUUCUGGGAAAAUUGAACUCUUUCUGAUAUAUCAGAGCUCUGAUUAUCCCGUGUGUUCCUAAUAGAGCAUUUUGUGCACUUCAAGUCUCUUAAAGUGGAAUUGGAGGCAGAUCCUUUAGUUACCAGGCUCCAGUUUUGGUUCCUGUCGAACCAAAACUGGAGUAGACACCGUGUCUACUUUUAAGACUAAUCUUAAAACUUUCCUUUUUGACAAAGCUUAUAGUUGGAGUGGCUCGUGUUACCCUG